UAAUUUUUUUAUAAUUCAGGUGCAUUAGCAUAAUAGGGAAUCCCGUGCAAUUCGGGAACGGACCCGCCGCUGUAAUUGGGGACGAACACUGCAUUUAUGUCACUGUUUCUAUUUGAGAAAUGGGAAGGCGCAGUUAGUAGAGCGAUCCAAAAGUCAGAAGACCUGCCUGAAUGAGUGGUUUGAU
rnacentral:ncRNA from 2 species